UACGACUACAUAUCAGGCAUAUCAAUAAGCGGAGGAAAAGAAACUAACUAGGAUUCCCUUAGUAACGGCGAGUGAAGCGGGAAGAGCUCAAAUUUGAAAUCUUCAAGGUUCUACCUUGACGAAUUGUAGUUUAAAGAAGUGUUUUCUGUUAGGAAUUGAGUACAAAGUUCCUUGGAAUAGGGACAUCAUAGAGGGUGAGAAUCCCGUAUUUGGUUAUUCAUUCUAGCUUUGUGAUACACUUUCAAAGAGUCGGAUUGUUUGGGAAUGCAGUCCAAAAUGGGUGGUAAAUUUCAUCUAAAGCUAAAUAUUGGCGAGAGACCGAUAGCGAACAAGUACCGUGAGGGAAAGAUGAAAAGAACUUUGAAAAGAGAGUUAAACAGUACGUGAAAUUGUCAAAAGGGAAGCGUUUGACACCAGUGUUGUUUUUCCGAAAAUCAAUUACGAAUGGCUUGAUUUUGUGUUGUAUUGACCUUAUCAGCUUUCUUCACUUUUUUCGAGUCUUUCUUAAUGCACUUUUCGGUUAACAAGUCAACAUCAAUUUCUUUUGUUGUAAAAGAGUAUUCGGAAGGUGGCUUUCUUUUCGGAGAAAGUGUUUAUAGCCCUAUACUUCUACAAUCGGAGAGAUUGAGGUCUGCAGCGUAGAUCCUUCGGGGUUAGAUACACUUGUGCUAAGUUGUAGCUUUUCAUAGACAACUUGUUGACUAUGUUUAGUCAUGCGGCUUACUCGCUUGUGCUAUUUUACCUACGCUUAGGAUGUUGAGUAGCGACAUACGCAC
rnacentral:rRNA from 1 species